GGCCAGACUCCUACGGGAGGCAGCAGUGAGGAAUAUUGGUCAAUGGGCGAGAGCCUGAACCAGCCAAGUCGCGUGAAGGAAGAAGGCUUUCGGGUUGUAAACUUCUUUUCUCAGGGACGAAGCAAGUGACGGUACCUGAGGAAUAAGCCACGGCUAACUACGUGCCAGCAGCCGCGGUAAUACGUAGGUGGCAAGCGUUAUCCGGAUUUACUGGGUGUAAAGGGCGUGUAGGCGGGAAAGCAAGUCAGAUGUGAAAACCAUGGGCUCAACCUGUGGCCUGCAUUUGAAACUGUUUUUCUUGAGUACUGGAGAGGCAGACGGAAUUCCUAGUGUAGCGGUGAAAUGCGUAGAUAUUAGGAGGAACACCAGUGGCGAAGGCGGGCUGCUGGACGGUGACUGACGCUGAGGCUCGAAAGCGUGGGGAGCAAACAGGAUUAGAUACCCGUGUAGA
rnacentral:rRNA from 1 species